rnacentral:lncRNA from 1 species
UGUCGAUGAACACGUUAAUUUUUUAUUUAUUUUUUGACAGAAAUGCACUUGCUCGUAUCGAGAAUACGCCAAUAUUCCGAGGAGUUUCUUUCACUCAAAAAACUUAUUAUCUAACCGAAAGACAAGAAAAUGUCUCCGGAAGUUUAGACAAUAAAACUUAAUGUCUGAAAUAAAACGUCCCAAGCUCCAAAUCCACGCUACUUCCACCUCAUCCCUGAAAUAAUACAAUUUAUUAAUAACAAGAAAAUUAUAAAUUUAAUUAGGGCUUUUUUCAUAAAUACCCAAGUCAGACUUUCAAUUUUUAAAACAAAUUGCAAAAAUAUUAUACUUCAAAAAAUACUUGCAAAAAUACGGAGGUUGCAUAUGCAACCAUAUUUGCAACUAGAAGCAACCUUAAGCAAUCAGAAAUGCAACUUUGGGAAAAAAAUUCAAAAAUUAUAUUUGUUUGCAUAAUAAAUUGCAACUGGUUGCGCACCUCUGCGGGGCCUAUUCUAAUAUCAAUAUUGCAACCUAAAAAACAACUAAAACAACAAACUAGAAAUCAACUCAAAAUUAACCUUCAUAAUCCCUGAUCUGAGUGUCUUAAUUACUGAGUCAGCUCGCUAAUUAAUUGAAUCACCCACAGGCGGCCACACCCUGACCCGAUUUGAACCGUCGAUGAUGGAGAAGUCCCCCAGUGAUAUACGAAGGCUUCGUCGGGUGGUGGUGGUGGUCGAAGAAAAUUGGUAAUGGAGGAACUCAAUCGGCGGAGGUGGUUGUGAGGCUGAUGGCUGUUGAAAGAGACGUGAUGGUCAAUCGAGAGUGAGUACUAGUUUGACAGCGACUGUUGAGAAAGGAGCUACUGUUGAGAAAGGAAGUGGGUUGAAUGAGAGAGAGGGAGAUGAACCGUAUAAUUGCAAAUAGUUUGUAGAUUUUUAGAAAAGAAAGUAAAUAUGCAAUUUUUGGGAGAAAAUUGUAUUAUUGCAAUUAAAAUGUUAAAAAGAGGUAUAUUUGGUAAAUACCCAAUAAAAUAUAAAAUAGUUUAUCAAAAGAUGGUAAAGUCAAAGAAAGAUAAAUAAAAUAAUUUGUAAAAAAAA